GAAACCGUUCAGGGGUAAACCUGAGAAACCCAAAAGUUCGAACGGGGAGAUUCAUCGUCGACGAUGCUGGCUCCCGUUGGUGCGCGAAACUCCGAAAGGGGUGUCCGGUAACCUUUCCGCAAGGAGGGUCCGGGCGUACGGCCAACGGCGAACGUUCCGGCUAUGUAAACGUGCACUUCUCCUCUAGUAGGACGUCGCAACCCGUUGCGUGUCGGUCUACGGGCUGAGCGGUAGACCGUUGCGUCGCCUCGUGCGUACGCGACGGACCCUCGGUGGCCCGACCGGCUGCGCGACGGUAUUCUAGACGGUAUCGGGCCGCAACAGUCUUAUUCUCGAACGCGCGUCAGGCCCGCCGCAAGCUCGGUCAGUUGCCCUGUGGUACGGAUGAUAUUCCCGUUCACGGGCCUGGCCAGCUGUUAGCAGGCGGUGCCCUCGGACUGGCCAAGCUUCGAAUUACCGGUUGGCGACGCUAUUGCUUUGGGUACUCUCAGGACCCGUCUUGAAACACGGACCAAGGAGCCUAACAUGUACGCGAGUCAUUGGGAUGAAUAAACCUAAAGGCGAAAUGAAAGUGAAGGGGUCGUCGCUAUAUGCGUCGUCCGAGGGAGGAUGGGCGCUGUAAAGUGCUCCGCACUCUCGGGGCGUCUCGUUCUCAUUGCGAGAAGAGGCGCACCUAGAGCGUACACGUUGGGACACGAAAGAUGAG
rnacentral:rRNA from 1 species